CCUAACGGGAGGCAGCAGUGGGGAAUAUUGGACAAUGGGCGCAAGCCUGAUUCCAGCCAUCCCGCGUGAGUGAUGAAGGCCGGGAGGARUUGUAAAGCUCUUUUCAGGUGGGGACGAUUAAUGACGGUACCCACAGAAGAAGCCCCCGGUGUUUAAAAUGGCGUGUCCAGCAGGCUCGCGGUAAU
rnacentral:rRNA from 1 species